rnacentral:rRNA from 1 species
AGGGUUUGAUUCUGGCUCAGGACGAACGCUGGCGGCGUGCCUAACACAUGCAAGUCGAGCGAGUGGAUUUCCUUCGGGAUUGAAGCUAGCGGCGGACGGGUGAGUAACACGUGGGCAACCUGCCUCAUAGAGGGGAAUAGCCUCCCGAAAGGGAGAUUAAUACCGCAUAAGAUUGUAGCUUCGCAUGAAGUAGCAAUUAAAGGAGCAAUCCGCUAUGAGAUGGGCCCGCGGCGCAUUAGCUAGUUGGUGAGGUAACGGCUCACCAAGGCGACGAUGCGUAGCCGACCUGAGAGGGUGAUCGGCCACAUUGGGACUGAGACACGGCCCAG